GUAAUCUGCAAAUGCCAGCCAUGCUCUUUCAUUUCAGUAAGAAGACUGCAUUCUGCUGUUGGGUGUGAUUUAGGCUAAUUGAGAGAAACAACGAUAAUGACUUCUAUUGGAAACUGAAUAGAGCAAGUUACACCACUAAGGUCAAUAGCAGGAAUGGCUGGACUUCAAAACUCUAAUCUCGUUAGUUUCUCACUGCAGUCCACCAUGAAAUCGAGGCAGAAUAAUACAAGUAGUGCAUAUACGAUCUGAAAAGGUCAUCCUAUAGGGAGACCUUCCUCCACCACACAAGAGCGCUCUCUCAGUCAGUUCUCAGGGCCAUAGCAUGUUUGGAUGUCGAUGAGCAUGCAUUCCAUGGCACUGACUUCCAACAGACGCCCUGNNNNNNNNNNUCCCCUAGUCAGGUGUCAUCCCUCCUCCUCAACCCUCCCCUAGUCAGGUGUCAUCCCUCCUCCUCAACCCUCCCCUAGUCAGGUGUCAUCCCUCCUCCUCAACCCUCCCCUAGUCCAGGGUUUCCCAAACUUGGUCCUGGGGCCUCCCCCUGGGUGCACGUUUUGGUUUUUGCCCUAGAACUACACAGCUGAUUCAAAUACCCAACUCAUCAAGCUUUGAUCAUUUGAAUCAUCUGUGUAGUGCCAGGGCAAAAACCAAAACAUGCACCCAGGCGGGACCCCAGGACCAAGUUUGGGAAAGCCUGAAGCGUCAACCCUGCAUUGGUCAGUUGUUACCUCUGCUGUAAUCAAGCAUGUUAUUACUCCAACCUUGUGAAAGUGACAAACUGACGUGUUCAUUUUCAGGAAAAACAACUUCAUAUCUGGGAUUUCUAUUGGAGAAGCAGUUUCUGCCCAUCUUCAUACUGUACUGGCUUUGCCUCAAAGGCUUACAUAUCUUGGUUAAUAAGAUUCUCAAUUACACUCACGUCACCAUGACUACAGUAACAGAACAUGAUUAUACCAGCAUUUGUUCUGAAAAUACAAUGUACCAAUGUCAGAUAACACAUCAGUUUCUUUACCAAAACAGACAGAGAGGAAGAGAACAUUAGUGUGUGGAUGAGAAUGAGUUUUCCUCAGGUGCUUUAAUAAAGGGAGAGACUUACACUAGCUGACCACCUGAGAGGCCUCGUCAUACUAUUUACCACAAUGAUCUGCCUACUAGGUUUAAUAGAAUGACUAGACCCCACUCUACCACCAUGAUCUGCCUACUAGGUUCAGUAGAAUGACUAGACCCCACUCUACCACCAUGAUCUNNNNNNNNNNNNNNNNNNNNNNNNNNNNNNNNNNNNNNNNNNNNNNNNNNNNNNNNNNNNNNNNNNNNNNNNNNNNNNNNNNNNNNNNNNNNNNNNNNNNNNNNNNNNNNNNNNNNNNNNNNNNNNNNNNNNNNNNNNNNNNNNNNNUGUAGAAUGACUAGACCCCACUACCACCAUGAUCUGCCUACUAGGUUCUGUAAAAUGACUAGACCCCUCUCUACCACCAUGAUCUGCCUACUAGGUUCUGUAGAAUGACUAGACCCCACUACCACCAUGAUCUGCCUACUGGGUUCUGUAGAAUGACUAGACCCCACUCUACCACCAUCAUCUGCCUACUAGGUUCAGUAGAAUGACUAAACCCCACUUCCACCAUGAUCUGCCUACCAGGUUCUGUAGAAUGACUAGACCCCACUGAAACUGGUAGUGAGACGCAAUAAAAACUAGCCAAUCAGUGCCUCAUCAUCUGUAUGAAGACACCCUAUAGAUAGAUUAACCCUACGUUCCAUCCUACACUCCUUAUAAUAUCACAUGUCCCACAGCCACUAGGGUUCUACUGCUAGAGCAGAGAGAGAGAUGCGAUGGUGUUAUGAGGUGGGCUGCUUAGAGGGUGAGCACACAAACAACAAAAAGCACAAAUCUCACCUCCCCCCAUCCUCUCUGCUCUCUCCAGUCCACUCCAUCCCUACUAGUGACUGUGGGUGCUUAGAUCGUUUUGCAGCAGUCUUGAAACUGAGCUGUGAGCCUGAAUGAAAUGCUUCACACACACUCAUCUGUCACGUGAGAGAGACGGCAAAGCAGCCAGCCGAGUCGGUGUGACCCGGGCGGGAGGAGUGUGUGUGUGUCAUGGAAGGAGGAGGGCAGUGUGUGUGAGGGAGGUAUGUGUGUGUGGAGGGUUUGUGUGUAUGAAAGAGGGAGGUGGGGAUGGUGUGUGUGUAUGUGUGUGUGAGCAGGGGGGACUGUGGGGAGACGAAGAGAGCCAACACAGCAGGGAGGGAGAGGCUUUGUGGAUCGGCAGACCAUGACCAGCGGCCACACUACACACACACACACACACACACACACACACACAGAGAGAGAGAAAGAGCCCAGCGUUAGCGUGGUGGGAGGGCCCAGGUGACAUUUCAUUCAGUGUCACGCAUCCCACUCUCUCUGAUCAGAGCAGACAACAUGCCCAAAUACAACACCAGCAGAACCCACAACAAAACCACCACCACCUAGGGGCUAUUCUCAAUCCUUACCACUGAAGCACUACAGAUUUCCAGAGAGAAAUGGAAAGGUCAUUUAGGAUUGAGCUGACAUGUGUAGCGUUUACCGUCUCCGCCAACUUGGGAACAUUACCUUUCAAUUUCAAAUUGGGCUUUAGUGAUGAAUUUCCCCCGAUACGGAUUGAAUAGAGCCUUAGGUCUCUGUCUGGUGCUACACACGACAAGUUACCACGACAACGCUUUAUACUAACCAUUCAUCAUUCUAAGACAUGGUUCUGUACACCAGCAACAGACUGCAUUUCUAACAAUAAGACUUGGUUGUCUUUAUUUAUAGAAACAACACUCAUAGGAAUGUGACUGUCAUGUCACUACGACAACGCUCUAUACUACUAACCAUUCAUAAGGAGUACGUUGUUAUGUAAUUAGUCAUCAUUUGCAGACGUUGUCAAGUGGAGCUGGGUUUGGACUGCAAUUAAACACAAUUUCAAAUAAAGAGACGUUUGUGUGUUGGAUGAAAAUGUGGGGAUGGACCGCCGCUCUGACGGACACACAAAGCAUCAAUCCAAGUCUUGAGAAAUGGAAAAUCCCACUCCGACCCCAUCAAAGACCGUGUCCAUGCCCUGUGCUUACAUUAAAGAAAUGUCUCUAAAUGGUAAACACAUGUGGGCUGGUCUGUGUUUGGGCUAAAAUGGCUGAACACUGAACAUGAUACGACAGCAUUUGAGUUAAUCUUUCCACUGAGAAACCGCAUCAGGGAGUUUACACUGAAGCCUAGUGUACGCUGUGUGUGUGUGUGUGUAUGUCCAGAGAUUAAGCUAGGACUGACUGUUCCCUAGAGCAGUACAGUGUGUGUGUGUGUGUGUGUGUGUGUGUGUGUGUGUGUGAGAGAGAGAGAGACAGCGUGAUGAAGGGGAAGGGUGUUACUCAAGCCUAAUGAAUCCAUCUGCAUUCAGGGGGCAGUCUUCCUCCAGGCGCAGACAGGAGGAAACGACCGCCAACCUGCGAGCAGAGAGACUCUGGAGGCUGGGGCUCACUUCUCCGGAACAGACAGAUGUAAACGAUCAAGGAAAGAUGGAAGUGGAUGGAAUAAUCGGGGGGGACUGGGACGGAUUUGACUAAGAAUCCAGGGAUUCUUUCCUAACAACAAACAUAGGUUUGUGGCUUUGGACUGCAGCAUAGAAGCAGUUUUCUCCCCACUAUGUACAGACUGUCCUUUACAAACUUUACACUGGCGUUGUACAAUGAGGGCAAUUCCCACUGUUUUAAAAAAUAUAUAUAUAUAUUUACAGAGGUUGAUGCCUACUGUGCCCUGGGCUGGUGUAAUGGACGCUUUAUGAUAAUACUAUUGUCUCUUUGAUCAUUCCUCUGCCCAGCGGUAGGUAGGUAGCCUAGUAUCUGCUUGAAGCCCGGCUCUGACUGGCAUGGGGGAUGGAUGUGAAGGAUUACCAUGGUGUCCUCAGAGGUCCAGGGAAGAAGGAUCUGGUGUCCUAGCAGCCUCUCUGUGACCUGUCACCCAGCACAUCCUGAGGGGAGGAGCGGUGGAGGCUGGCUCUCAGGCCAGUCAUCAUGAUAAUGGUUUAGAUGAGUUUAGAUGUAAAGUUAGGGGGACAUCUGGUGGUCAAGAGGCAUUAUUGCUAAAAUGUGGUAAUUUUGUCUGGAUUAAAUGUAAAACUUUACCAGGACAACGGGAAUGAUAUGACGCUUGUAUUAAAAGUUGUCAAGCUUCCUUGGUUCAGUAGCUAUGUCCCCACACAAAGCUUCCUAGCCCUGGUUCAGUAGCUACGUCCCCACACAAAGCUUCCUAGGCCUGGUUCAGCAGCUACGUUCCCACACAAAGCUUCCUAGCCCUGGAUCAGUAGCUACGUCCCCACACAAAGCUUCCUAGCCCUGGAUCAGUAGCUACGUCCCCACACAAAGCUUCCUAGCCCUGGUUCAGCAGCUACGUUCCCACACAAAGCUUCCUAGCCCUGGUUCAGCAGCUACGUUCCCACACAAACAUUUCAGCAACAGAAAACGCCCACAACUAUCUAAUUCAUUUCAUAAUUUAUUCAACUCAUUGAUUAUGAUCAAAUCUAUAAAACUGCAUCCAUUGAUACUCUUCAAGUAUAAACCAAUAAACGGCAAUGUCAAGUCUCUUGUAUGAGGAAGUAGGUCAGUGUUUCAAUUUGAAGGCAGUAUGUUGUGUGUGUGGGAUUGGGAGGGGGACCAAGACCUAGAAUUCCUUCCCUUCUCUCAUCAACAAUCAAUCGUCCUUACAGAGCAGUGACCUGAGAGACAAGGCGAGAAG
rnacentral:lncRNA from 13 species